AUUGAACGCUGGCGGCAGGCCUAACACAUGCAAGUCGAGCGAGCGGCGGACGGGUGAGUAAUGUCUGGGAAACUGCCUGAUGGCGGGGGAUAACUACUGGAAACGGUAGCUAAUACCGCAUACCAUCGGAUGUGCCCAGAUGGUAUUAGCUUGUUGGUGGGGUAACGGCUCACCAAGGCGACGAUCCCUAGCUGGUCUGAGAGGAUGACCAGCCACACUGGAACUGAGACACGGUCCAAACUCCGACGGGAGGAAGCAGUGGGGAAUGUUGCACAAUGGGCGCAAGCCUGAUGCAGCAAGGCCGCGUGUGUGAAGAAGGCCUUCGGGUUGUAAAGUACUUUCAGCGGGGAGGCGUUACCCGCAGAAGAAGCACCGGCUAACUCCGUGCCAGCAGCCGCGGUAAUAC
rnacentral:rRNA from 1 species